rnacentral:rRNA from 1 species
GACGAACGCUGGCGGCGUGCUUAACACAUGCAAGUCGAACGGUGAAGCGCCUUCCUUUUUGGUGGGUGUGGAUGAGUGGCGAACGGGUGAGUAACACGUGAGUAACCUGCCCCCUUCUUCUGGAUAACCGCAUGAAAGUGUGGCUAAUACGGGAUAUUCUGGGUCUGUCGCAUGAUGGGUCUGGGAAAGAUAUUGUUUCGGUGGGGGAUGGGCUCGCGGCCUAUCAGCUUGUUGGUGGGGUGAUGGCCUACCAAGGCGGUGACGGGUAGCCGGCCUGGGAGGGUGGACGGUCACACUGGGACGGAGACACGGCCCAGACUCCGACGGGAGGCAGCAGUGGGGAAUAUUGCACAAUGGGAGCAAGCCUGAUGCAGCGACGCCGCGUGAGGGAUGGAGGCCUUCGGGUUGUGAACCUCUUUCGCCAGUGAAGCAGGCCUGCCUCGUUUGUGGGUGGGUUGACGGUAGCUGGAGAAGAAGCGCCGGCUAACUACGUG